AGCAUGUUCCUAGGCGGACGCGGCGGUCUUGAAAACCGUCGUGGCGCAAGUCACCGUGGGUUCAAAUCCCACACCCA
rnacentral:tRNA from 1 species